rnacentral:rRNA from 1 species
UACGUAGGGGGCAAGCGUUGUCCGGAUUUAUUGGGCGUAAAGAGCGUGUAGGCGGCCAUACAGGUCCGUUGUGAAAACUGGAGGCUCAACCUCCAGACGUCGAUGGAAACCGUAUGGCUAGAGUCCGGAAGAGGAGAGUGGAAUUCCUGGUGUAGCGGUGAAAUGCGCAGAUAUCAGGAAGAACACCCGUGGCGAAGGCGGCUCUCUGGGACGGUACUGACGCUGAGACGCGAAAGCGUGGGGAGCGAACAGG